rnacentral:rRNA from 1 species
AUUGAACGCUGGCGGCAUGCCUUACACAUGCAAGUCGAACGGCAGCGGGGACUUCGGUCCGCCGGCGAGUGGCGAACGGGUGAGUAAUGUAUCGGAACGUACCAUUCAGUGGGGGAUAACUAUCCGAAAGGAUAGCUAAUACCGCAUAUUCUGUGAGCAGGAAAGCAGGGGAUCGCAAGACCUUGCGCUGAUUGAGCGGCCGAUAUCAGAUUAGCUAGUUGGUGAGGUAAAGGCUCACCAAGGCGACGAUCUGUAGCGGGUCUGAGAGGAUGAUCCGCCACACUGGAACUGAGACACGGUCCAGACUCCUACGGGAGGCAGCAGUGGGGAAUUUUGGACAAUGGACGCAAGUCUGAUCCAGCAAUGCCGCGUGCAGGACGAAGGCCUUCGGGUUGUAAACUGCUUUUGUACGGAACGAAAAGGUCUCUCUUAAUACGGGGGACUCAUGACGGUACCGUAAGAAUAAGCACCGGCUAACUACGUGCCAGCCGCCGCAGUAA